rnacentral:rRNA from 1 species
UACGAAGGGGGCUAGCGUUGUUCGGAUUUACUGGGCGUAAAGCGCACGUAGGCGGAUCUUUAAGUCAGAGGUGAAAUCCCAAGGCUCAACCUUGGAACUGCCUUUGAUACUGGGGAUCUUGAGUCCGGGAGAGGUGAGUGGAGCUGCGAGUGUAGAGGUGAAAUUCGUAGAUAUUCGCAAGAACACCAGUGGCGAAGGCGGCUCACUGGCCCGGUACUGACGCUGAGGUGCGAAAGCGUGGGGAGCAAACAGG